GUAAGUUUGAUUCAAAAUGACACUUCAAAGGGAAACACACACGGGACUGCUUCUUUUCCACUUUGAAGUCCCAGAUGGUUUCUUCUAUGAUUCUAGCAGGGAUUGGCAUGGGAGGACAGGCAAUACCUUCCUUCUGGGUUUCUGCAGAGAACUCUUGAUCACUUGCUUUCGUCCCUAAGGGAUUAGCAGCUCAGCACCUGCUUACCCAGCCUUGUCCCUGCCUCCAUUCAUACCCAGCUCUCAGCAUGCCUUUGGUGGCUGGGUCUGGAGCCACAGCUGGACAUACAGCCAGACUAAUGGACAGCCCCUGGUCCUUACUGUCAUGCCUGCCUCAUCAGCUGUGGGGGCUGUGAUGAUGGUAAGGUGGUGGGAGGUUGGUGCUUGUCCAUGAUGUGAGCCCUUGUGCUUAUGAUGUCAGGAGUUCAGGCUGCUUGGGGGACAGUCUCCUUCAGGUCUAAACCAGGAGCACCCCUAACUCAAUCUGCCCUGGGAAGGGUAGGAUCAUACCUUGGCAUCAGCCCCUGAUCCUCACAAACUGCCAAAAAAGAAUCCAAAGAGCAAGUCAGUAAAGAUGCUUGUGGAAACGAUAGCAAUAUAUACUGAGGAGAUAGUAAUGAGAAACUGAUUUUCUCCUGUCUGUGUCUGCUAACAAGUAAUAAUAUUAACAACAAAACAACAAAAAUAAUGAUAAUACUAUUGUGCUCAUGUGCAGGCCAUGUAUGAAGUACUUUACAUCCAUUGUAUAAUUUAACUCUUAUAGAGUCCUGUGAGGCAUAACGAUCCCCAUUUUACAGGUGAGAAAGCUGAGGCACAGGAAGGUUAGCUAUCACAAGACAAACCAGCUAGUAGGUGGCUGGGUUCAUAGAGCAGUGAUCCCAGCCUGGCUCCCCGUGCCUGACUAGGAAACCGAUCUUCAAGGAUGCAACAUCUGAGCCAUUUUCAUUUCAAAAGUAGGCUGGCCACUGGCCCAAGACUCACCACAGGCCUCCGGGCUCCUGAACCCCACUGCUUCAUCAGGAAAAGAAGCCCUUUUUUGGGCUUCCCUGGUGACGCAGACUGUAAAGAAUCUGCCUGCAGUGCAGGAGAGCCGGGUUCAGCCCCUGGGUCAGGAAGAUCCCCUGGAGAAGGAAAUGGCAACCUGCUGCAACAUUCUUGCCUAGAAAAUUCCAUGCACAGAAGGGCCUGGCGGGCUACAGUCCAAGGAGGUUGCAAAGAGUCAAAUAUGACUGAGCAUCUAACACUUUCACUUUCAAACCUUCUUUGAUGAACGUUUUCCCCCCCUCCCUUCACUGCAUGGGUCUCCUGCAUUCUGGGGGCUGCUUUGCAAGAUGUGAGCAGGAGAGGACAGUUGAAGCUAUAGCUGGG
ensembl:lncRNA